GACGAACGCUGGCGGCGUGCCUAACACAUGCAAGUCGAACGAAGCUUGAAGAUUUGAUUCUUUCGGAGUGAAAUACUGAUAUGACUGAGUGGCGGACGGGUGAGUAACGCGUGAGCAACCUGCCCUUCGGAGGGGGAUAGUGUCUGGAAACGACUGCUAAUACCGCAUAAGACCACAGCACCGCAUGGUGCAGGGGUAAAAACUCCGGUGGUAUGAGAUGGAUCCGCGUCUGAUUAGCUAGUUGGUAAGGUAACGGCUUACCAAGGCAACGAUCAGUAGCCGACCUGAGAGGGUGACCGGCCACAUUGGGACUGAGACACGGCCCAA
rnacentral:rRNA from 1 species